rnacentral:piRNA from 1 species
UAACAUACUGUGUCUACUCCCAACCC